GGAGAGGUGUCCGAGCGGUUUAAGGAGGCGGUCUUGAAAACCGUUGAGCCGUAAGGCUCCGUGGGUUCGAAUCCCACCCUCUCCG
rnacentral:tRNA from 2 species